UAGGGAAUCUUCCGCAAUGGACGCAAGUCUGACGGAGCAACGCCGCGUGAGUGAAGAAGGAUUUCGGUUCGUAAAACUCUGUUGUUAGAGAAGAACAGCGCAUAGAGUAACUGUUAUGCGUGUGACGGUAUCUAACCAGAAAGCCACGGCUAACUACGUGCCAGCAGCCGCGGUAAUACGUAGGUGGCAAGCGUUGACCGGAUUUAUUGGGCGUAAAGCGAGCGCAGGCGGUCAAUUAAGUCUGAUGUGAAAGCCCCCGGCUCAACCGGGGAGGGUCAUUUGAAACUGGUUGACUUGAGUGCAGAAGAGGAGAGUGGAAUUCCAUGUGUAGCGGUGAAAUGCGUAGAUAUAUGGAGGAACACCAGUGGCGAAGGCGACUCUCUGGUCUGUAACUGACGCUGAGGCUCGAAAGCGUGGGUAGCAAACAGG
rnacentral:rRNA from 1 species